UAAUUUGAUCAUCAUAGAAAUGUCAAAAUUACAUUAUAUAACACAAAUUUAAAUAUUAUUUAUUUUAAAAAUAAUUUUAUAUAUAUUUUUUAUUUUUAAAUUUAGUUUGCUAAUUAACACGUGCAGCGCACGUUUGUAGACUAGUAUCUCUAAAAAGAGAUAUUUGAUUGAUUUGUUACGCCACAUUACCAAUAUACAUGUUGCAUUUUAGAAUUUUUCCAAAAAAACACUCAGCAUGACAAGACCACUC
rnacentral:lncRNA from 1 species